AAUGAACGCUGGCGGCAUGCCUAAUACAUGCCAGUCGAACGAAACGACGGGGAGCUUGGUCCUUUGGCGUUGUCGGCGGACGGAUGCGUAACACAUAGGUAGAAUACCUCUACGACUGGGGUACUAACGGGGGACAAUAUCUACUAACGGAUAAUAUUUCGAACCUGGUGGUUCGAUAGUUAGAGAUGGCUUUGCUAUCAGUAAUAGCUGAACAAGCGCAGUAUUCGCUAGUUGGUAAGGUAGCGGCUUAGCAAGGCAACGAUACGUAGCCGACCUGAGAGGGUGAUCGGCCACACUGUAACUGAGAAACGGCCCAGACACCUACGGGAGGCAGCAGUAGGGAAUCUUCCGCAAUGGGCGAAAGCCUGAUGUAGCAACGCCGCGUGAGUGAUGAUGGACUUCGGAUCGUAAAGCGCUGUUAUUAUUGAAGAACAAACGCGCUAGUAACCGGGAACGUAUUGACGGUACCGAAACAGUAAGCCACGGCUAACUCCGUG
rnacentral:rRNA from 1 species